rnacentral:lncRNA from 1 species
CUGCCCAAGGUGCUGCCCAUGUGCAACUUGCUGCCCAAGUUGUUGCAGAAAAGGAAGGUGGCGCGCAGAUGACUCUCAGAAGAGGAAAGCGCGCAGAUUGUUUCUGAAUAGGAAGGAUGCACGAAUUUUGAUCUUCAAAGGGGAAGAUAUGCUUGUCCAUACAUUCCUUUUUAGGUGGAGCCUCUUUUGAAAUUUGAAUAUUGAAUGUAGAAGAGGAAGAGCAUCUCUUUGAGAUCUUGCUGCCUAAAUAGGAAGAUAUUACUGCUGCAGUGUGUGCACAUCUUUGAACUAGGAAAGAAAGAUAUGCGAUUUGAAUUUCAAAUAAUCUUCUGACUGAGCUUUCCUUGUUUGCUUUUGC